GACGAACGCUGGCGGCGUGCCUAACACAUGCAAGUCGAGCGAUGAAGUUUCUUUCGGGAAAUGGAUUAGCGGCGGACGGGUGAGUAACACGUGGGUAACCUGCCUCAUAGAGGGGAAUAGCCUCCCGAAAGGGAGAUUAAUACCGCAUAAUAUUACAGUUUCGCAUGAAACAGUAAUUAAAGGAGUAAUCCGCUAUGAGAUGGACCCGCGGCGCAUUAGCUAGUUGGUGAGGUAACGGCUCACCAAGGCGACGAUGCGUAGCCGACCUGAGAGGGUGAUCGGACACAUUGGGACUGAGACACGGCCCAGACUCCUACGGGAGGCAGCAGUGGGGAAUAUUGCACAAUGGGGGAAACCCUGAUGCAGCAACGCCGCGUGAGUGAUGACGGUCUUCGGAUUGUAAAGCUCUGUCUUUGGGGACGAUAAUGACGGUACCCAAGGAGGAAGCCACGGCUAACUACGUGCCAGCCGCCGCGGUAAGAC
rnacentral:rRNA from 1 species